UGAUAAACACGUGGUUAAGGUUUUGGAACGAUCAUGGUCACGCUUUUGGAACAGGGUUGGAAGCGGUAAACAACUUUGUCACUUGAAUGUAAACAUAUAGGUCACUUUGGGGCAGGUGCUGAAACAACUGAUGCCUUCGUUCUUGGGAGGACAAUUACAUUUACAAAAACUGUGGUAGUAGGUUUUAGGAGAACAUCGGAUGGUUAUCUCACCAUUGUAAUCAUGAAUGACCUGUCCCCCCUCAAAAAUGUGUUUUGCUUAUUGUUACUUUUACUGUUUUACUUUUACUAUUGUUACUGUAUGUGUGUUUAAUGCUGUUUUCACAGCCUUCUAGGGGGAAAGUUUCUCUUUGCUUUGCUUUGUUUACCUACAAGCAUGAUUUAGUGACUUCACAACUAGUUUGCAAGCUAGUUUGUAGUAUGCGAUUUACAGAAAUGGGAUGUGGGCCCUUGAAACCUCCAGCGCACCACUGAAGUAGGAGAUAUCUUGUGUCCAGCAGCUAAACUUUUGAUUCUGGAUAAAAAUAUAAUUAAGUUUGCUUUGUUUAGCUUUGCUGUCUUUGUUUAGCUUUAUGCCUGUGUGUGUGUGUGUGUGUGUGUGUGUGUGUGUGUGUGUGUGUGUGUGUGUGUGUGUGUGUGUGUGUGUGUGUGUGUGUGUGUCUCCUGUGCAUUAGUUCUUGAUGCUAUGUGUUAAUAUAUUGAGAGCUACUGAAAACACAAAUUGUAUGUGUCAACAUACUUGCCUAUUACCUUAAAUUUAUUCUGAUUCUGAUAUUACCAUAAAUGAUUAAAGUUUCUAAUAUUUAUAUUUUUGUGCAACAAAUUUUAAGAAGACACAUUACCAGGGAUAGCUGUUGUGGGAGAAAUCAUACCCCUCUAAAAAUUUGGUGUCAUUUCAAUCCAUAGUCAAUUACUCAUUUCUCCUUGUCAGUCAUUCUGUGUGAGUGUUUUCAGAUAUGCCAGCACGCUGAGAGCUACAGCACAUAGCUAGACAAGCAGAUCAGGUGCAAUGGCCUUAAAUGAGAAGAUUUUACACAGUUUAUUUCCUGUUCUCAGAGGAUGUUAUCAAACUGAUGAUGGCCAUUGUAGCAAGGUCAAGAAAAAACACAGCCCCACAGCACAGAGUCUGGAUGGAGAUGAAUGCAGUCAUGAUCAAAGAAGACAUCAUGGUUUUUCUACCACAUUGAUAGAGCCGGAGAAGAAAAGUAACAUUAACCUUGUCUUAAAGCCUGCAGGGCAUCUCUGUGUGCUGAAAGCUGGAGUUUCAGGACGUGGAGCUGGGGCACCAUCUGCUGGAAAAAAGUAAUCAUGCAAUAUGAACAAUCUGCAAUACAGAGGAAUCUCUAUCCCAACAGAAUAUCAAGAAUCCUAGAAUCU